UUUUCGCCUCUGUUUACAAGGUGCGUUUUGCUGCCCUUCAGUGACUUCUAAGACUUAACACACUACCUACUGUUAUCCCGCCUCGGGGCGCACAGGCUCGGUGCUUAGAAGAGCACAUCGGCCUUCUCAGCCUCCUCCCUCCCUCCCCAGUCAGAUGUCUGGCUGCCUCUAGGCAGGGAGUCUGGAGGUCUUGUCUGCACAGAGGCUGUUUCUCGCCUGGCUGUGGGGGCUCCAGCAGAGAGAAACAGAUCUUCGCCCAGACGGGAGGAAGUAGCUCCUGUGACCUGUUAAGAUUUUAGACUCGCUGUUCAGCCCUGCAAGUUCUGGUUUGUUUGCAUCCCCACAUGAUGUCAUUUUCCUGCCCGGCUAAGCUGGUGGUCACCCUCUGACGUUACCUACCUUCCCCUUCCAGAUGCCCAUGUGCCUUCCUAGGCUGCUUAAAUGCUUCAGAGCAAAGCCGCCACCUAUUUGUCGCAACUCACGCUGGCCUCACUCCGGCAAGUGAGCAUGUAUCCCUGCAUGUCGGACAUGUUUUCCUUUCCUGGGUGCACUGGGAGUUGAGUUCCAAGUAUAGCACAAUCCACUGAGAACAACUUGAAAACACAGUACAGAUUUAGAGAGAAUUCUGGACCUGCCAUAACCUAGCUAUAAGCUUUGCUGUCCCCUUUGUGGAAGCACCAUUUCACCUUCCAGUCUCCAGGCACAGUAAAGGAAGAGUUUCAAGGACAUUUAUGGCUUGUAAAAGAAAAAUAUGGAUUCUGCCUCCCAGGCCAAGGAGUGGGGAAUGAUAA